UAGGGAAUAUUAGAAAUGGACGAAAGUCUGAUCUAGCAACACCGCGUGUGCGAAGAAGGCCUUUGGGUCGUAAAGCACUUUUUGGAAGGAAUAGGAAGGAAUGUACUUCCAGAAUAAGUCUCGGCUAACUACGUGCCAGCAGCCGCGGUAACACGUAGGAGGCAAACGUUAUCCGGAUUUACUGGGCGUAAAGCGCGUGUAGGUGGUACUGUAAGUAGGGCGUGAAAGCUCCUGGCUCAACUGGGAGAGGCCGUUCUAAACUACAGAACUAGAGGAUGGUAGAGGGGGGUGGAAUUCCAGGUGUAGCGGUGGAAUGCGCAGAUAUCUGGAGGAACACCGGUGGCGAAGGCGGCCUCCUGGACCAUUCCUGACACUCAGGCGCGAAAGCUAGGG
rnacentral:rRNA from 1 species